GACGAAGGUGGCAAGCGUUAUUCGGAUUUACUGGGCAUAAAGCGCGCGUAGGCGGCUUGGCAAGUCGGGGGUGAAAGCCCGCAGCUCAACUGCGGAACUGCCUUCGAUACUGCCGGGCUAGAGUCCGGAAGAGGCGAGUGGAACUCCUGGUGUAGCGGUGGAAUGCGCAGAUAUCAGGAAGAACACCAACGGCGAAGGCAGCUCGCUGGGACGGUACUGACGCUGAGACGCGAAAGCGUGGGGAGCGAACAGG
rnacentral:rRNA from 1 species